rnacentral:rRNA from 1 species
AGAGUUUGAUCAUGGCUCAGAAUCAACGCUGGCGGCGCGCUUAACACAUGCAAGUCGAACGAGAAAGGGGAGCAAUCCCUGAGUAAAGUGGCGUACUGGUGAGUAACACGUGGAUAUCUACCUCUUGGUGGGGGAUAACCUGGGGAAACCUGGGCUAAUACCGCAUAAGUUCGUGAGAAGAAAGGCGCAAGUCGCCGAGAGAGGAGUCCGCGGUCGAUUAGGUAGUUGGCAGGGUAAAAGCCUACCAAGCCAAAGAUCGAUAGCCGGCCUGAGAGGGCACACGGCCACACUGGCACUGAAACACGGGCCAGACUCCUACGGGAGGCAGCAGUGGGGAAUCUUGCACAAUGGGGGAAACCCUGAUGCAGCGACGCCGCGUGAGCGAUGAAGCCCUUCGGGGUGUAAAGCUCUUUCGGCAGGAACGAUAAUGACGGUACCUGCAGAAGAAGCUGCGGCUAACUACGUGCCAGCAGCCGCGGUAAUACGUAGGCAGCAAGCGUUGUUCGGAAUUACUGGGCGUAAAGAGUGUGUAGGUGGUGUCGUAAGUUUGGUGUGAAAUCUCCCGGCUUAACUGGGAGGGUGCGCCGAAGACUGCGAUGCUGGAGUAUGGGAGAGGAAAGCGGAAUUCCUGGUGUAGCGGUGAAAUGCGUAGAUAUCAGGAGGAACACCUGCGGUGUAGACGGCUUUCUGGACCAUUACU